CCUACGGGUGGCAGCAGUGAGGAAUAUUGGUCAAUGGACGAGAGUCUGAACCAGCCAAGCCGCGUGAAGGAUGACGGCACUAUGGGUUGUAAACUUCUUUUAUAAAGGAAUAAAACGAGGCACGUGUGCCUGUUUGAAUGUACCUUAUGAAUAAGGAUCGGCUAACUCCGUGCCAGCAGCCGCGGUAAUACGGAGGAUCCGAGCGUUAUCCGGAUUUAUUGGGUUUAAAGGGUGCGUAGGCGGGUUGUUAAGUCAGCUGUGAAAGUUCGCGGCUCAACCGUCGAACUGCCUUUGAUACUGGCAGUCUUGAGUUCAGUUGAGGUAGGCGGAAUGCGUGGUGUAGCGGUGAAAUGCAUAGAUAUCACGCAGAACCCCGAUUGCGAAGGCAGCAUACCGGUGCACAACUGACGCUGAGGCACGAAAGCGUGGGUAUCGAACAGGAUUAGAUACCCCUGUAGUC
rnacentral:rRNA from 1 species